UACGAAGGGGGCUAGCGUUGUUCGGAAUCACUGGGCGUAAAGCGCACGCAGGCGGAUCGCUAAGUCGGGGGUGAAAGCCCGGGGCUCAACCUCGGAAUUGCCUUCGAUACUGUCGGUCUCGAGUCCGGGCGAGGUGAGUGGAAUUCCUAGUGUAGAGGUGAAAUUCGUAGAUAUUAGGAAGAACACCAGUGGCGAAGGCGGCUCACUGGCCCGGUACUGACGCUCAGGUGCGAAAGCGUGGGGAGCAAAAAGG
rnacentral:rRNA from 1 species